UACGUAGGGGGCUAGCGUUGUCCGGAUUUAUUGGGCGUAAAGAGCGUGUAGGCGGCCAGGUAGGUCUGCUGUGAAAACUCGAGGCUCAACCUCGAGACGUCGGCGGAAACCAUCUGGCUAGAGUCCGGAAGAGGAGAGUGGAAUUCCUGGUGUAGCGGUGAAAUGCGCAGAUAUCAGGAAGAACACCCGUGGCGGAAGGCGGCUCUCUGGGACGGUACUGACGCUGAGACGCGAAAGCGUGGGGAGCGAACAGG
rnacentral:rRNA from 1 species